rnacentral:rRNA from 1 species
CCUACGGGUGGCAGCAGUGGGGAAUAUUGCACAAUGGGGGCAACUCUGAUGCAGCGACGCCGCGUGAGUGAUGAAGUAAUUCGGUAUGUAAAGCUCUAUCAGCAGGGACGAAAAUGACGGUACUUGAGUAAGAAGCCCCGGCUAACUACGUGCCAGCAGCCGCGGGAAUACGUAGGGGGCAAGCGUUAUCCGGAUUUACUGGGUGUAAAGGGAGCGUAGACGGCAGUGCAAGUCUGGAGUGAAAGGCGGGGGCUCAACCCCCGGACUGCUCUGGAAACUGUACGGCUGGAGUGCAGGAGAGGUAAGUGGAAUUCCUAGUGUAGCGGUGAAAUGCGUAGAUAUUAGGAAGAACACCAGUGGCGAAGGCGGCUUACUGGACUGUAACUGACGUUGAGGCUCGAAAGCGUGGGGAGCAAACAGGAUUAGAUACCCGAGUAGUC